rnacentral:rRNA from 1 species
GCCAGCUUCGAGAUAAGUUCCCUCACAGGGUUAACCUGGUAAGUGCGCUGGGAGACCACCAGCUUGAUAGGCGGCACGUGUACGGGCAGAGAUGUCCUCAGCGAAGCCGUACUAAUGCACGAGGGCUUAAUCUA